GACGAACGCUGGCGGCGUGCUUAGCACAUGCAAGUCGAACGAAGAGCGAUGGAAGCUUGCUUCUAUCAAUCUUAGUGGCGAACGGGUGAGUAACGCGUAAUCAACCUGCCCUUCAGAGGGGGACAACAGUUGGAAACGACUGCUAAUACCGCAUACGAUCUAAUCUCGGCAUCGAGGAUAGAUGAAAGGUGGCCUCUACAUGUAAGCUAUCACUGAAGGAGGGGAUUGCGUCUGAUUAGCUAGUUGGAGGGGUAACGGCCCACCAAGGCGAUGAUCAGUAGCCGGUCUGAGAGGAUGAACGGCCACAUUGGGACUGAGACACGGCCCAGACUCCUACGGGAGGCAGCAGUGGGGAAUCUUCCGCAAUGGACGAAAGUCUGACGGAGCAACGCCGCGUGAGUGACGACGGCCUUCGGGUUGUAAAGCUCUGUUAAUCGGGACGAAAGGCCUUCUUGCGAAUAGUGAGAAGGAUUGACGGUACCGGAAUAGAAAGCCACGGCUAACUACGUG
rnacentral:rRNA from 1 species